rnacentral:rRNA from 1 species
GUGGCAAGUCUUCCAGUAUGGGGAGCAAAACAGCUAUGGGUCAAGUCCGAUAUCUUUAGGAGAAGUCUUAUUGUGAGGGCGAGUUAUAUAACACCAUAGGACUGGCCGUCCCAUAUGAAAAGAUUAUAUUAGAAUUGAAUGAAGCUUUGUUUAUAUAUUGAUAAUGACAGUAUAUAUAUCGUGUCUUGACUAAUUGCGUGCCAGCAGUCGCGGUAAUACGUAAGAGACUAGUGUUAUUCAUCUUAAUUAGGUUUAAAGGGUACCCAGACGGUCAAUAUAGCUUAUAAAAUGUUAGUACUUGACUAGAGUUUUAUGUAAGAGGGCAGUACUUGAGGAGGAGAGAUGAAAUUUCGUGAUACCAAAGGGACUCUGUAAAGGCGAAGGCAGCCCUCUAUGUAAAAACUGACGUUGAAGGACGAAGGCACAGAGAACAAACAGGAUUAGAUACCCAAGUAGUCUUUGCAGUAAAUGAUGAAUGCCAUAGGUUAGAUUAAUCAAUUAUAGUCUAGGGUUAGUCUAGCAAACUAAUGACCUAUACUAUAAUGAAAAAUAUCUGGUCUAUAAAUGAAAGUGUAAGCAUUUCACCUCAAGAGUAAUGUGGCAACGCAGGAACUGAAAUCACUAGACCGUUUCUGACACCAGUAGUGAAGUAUGUUAUUUA